rnacentral:lncRNA from 10 species
GUGGCCACACAAAAAUGCCUUGCUGGUACUGAGCCAUGGAACAUGGUCUCUUGGCCAGUCCCGCUCUUCUCAGGGGCAAACAGACAGGUUUCUUAGUGCCGGGGCUCAGGCUGCCUGAGAGGUCAGGUUGGCGAGAUACUAGAGGGCAACCUGCUUAUUGGGAACAUGGCAGUGAGCUGACCAAGGGGCUCCAAGGGUUACCUUGACGGCUUCUCCGACCCAAGAGAUGCGAUUCUUGUUCUGUUUCUUCUUCUUCCCCUGGUGCAUUUUUUUGGGUGACGGCAUCUCUGGGAUGUUAUCAUCGACUUCCUCAUCGUCAUCUGCCUCCUUCAUGGCCAUAUUGGGACACCUGCAAUGUCACUGGUUAUACCUAAGGCCCCUUUUCUAAGUAAGACCAACCGGGGCUGUUUUCUUCAUAACAGGGACAGGUCCUGAGACAAUGCCUAACGAAGGAAUCCUGGUGCUGUCCCACACAUGCAGGCCCUUCUCCACAGUGCAUCUGCCACCAGCUGGCAAGUCCUCUGCCACAGGAGGAAGACUCGGCCUGACCUACCUCCGCUCUUGGCAAGCCUGCUUGCUCCGUCCACUGCCACCAAAUUUAACCAUGUCCUUGC